GCAUCUUUUCCAAUUUUGUAGGUUUGUCGUAACCCAAAGCCCUUUUGGCCAAUCACCAGAUCAGCCAAGUGUAAAAGACAUCAUGUUCUUCGAAGAUAAAGGGGAGUUCUACAUUGUAGACUUACACACACCUGAAGGAUUACAAGUAUGUGUGGUGCCAGAUAUUUGGUGUUACUACGUAGACGACAAAUUCUGCUGUGUUUGGCCACAUUUUCAUCAGACAAAGGAAAUCAAGAGUAGGACUCAACCCAAGAGAGAGUGGGCCUCAUUCUAUGCGGAUAAGAGAAAUAAGACUUUUGGAAGCUACAACGAAGCUAAAGCCAAAGAAAUUACUGCCACUCAAAAGACAGAUUUAGCUUCUGAGCCCGAAGAUCUUGGAAGGGGUAAGAGGGUUCGCAGGAUGAGGAGACCAUUUUCUCCUGCAAUUGACUACCAUCUUGACUCAUCGUCGUGUAGCGAAGAAGAAGGUGCUUCACAACUGAUGAAAAAUGGAUUGCCUCCUGCCCCAUUCUUAUUGCCGGUCGCCCAGUCAACGGCCCUUUCAGAUGAAGGUACACCAGGAUAUUAUAGUUCGCUACCAAACGAAGAGAAUACAGUAUCACCAACUCAAGAGAUCUGCAGUGAGUUAAUCAGUGCACCAAUCACUUCUCCACAGUCUAGCAGUGAAGUUGAAGAUCGUUCUAUGCAAAUCCAUGGACAAGUUCAACGCAAGAAUUCAGGCGCUGCUGGCUCAACUUAUAGAAAAGAAUCAAUGAAAGUACAUCAGGAUAUUGUAGUUCGCUACCAAACGAAGACAAUGCAGUAUCACCAACUCAAGAGAUCUGCAGUCAGUUAAUUAGUUCACCAAUCACUUCUCCACAGUCUAGCAAUGAAGUUGAAGAUCGUUCUAUGCAAAUCCAUGGACAAGUUCAACGCAUGAAUUCAGGCGUUUCUGGCUCAACUUAUACAGAGAAUGUCGUUGCUGGGUCCUCCGGCACUCCAGCAUGUGGUUCAUCUGGGACAAUGGGAACGUUUAACCGUUAUGUAGUAUCACAACAAGAUUUUCCAUUCUUCGUGCCCUGAAGCAAGUCAAUGCUACAAUGAAGGAGAUGGAUCGAAAAAUUUUAUCCAUAGAUAAGAAGGUGGGAAGACGGCAACUGAAGAAACUACUUUUGCUGACAUCGAAGAUUUCCCAGUAUCUUUUCCGCUAGCAAACGUUGAAGAAUUCAUUAAGCUUGAAGACAUACUAAAUGAAGAUCCAUCUAAAGCUGCCAUUGUGUAUCAGUUAGUAAAGUCGUGUGGUGGGAUGUCGGAAUCGGAUGCGAUUUGUCGGGCGUGGAUCAAAAUUACUUCCAUUGAGUGUCGCUCUGACUGCAAUUGGAAGGGUGUCAAAGAGGCACUCACCAGAAACAUGGGCUCGAACUUUCAUCGAUUAAGGAUGCUGUAUUAAAGGGAAUCAGAAUGAACGCUACGUACGCAGAUCUCAAGGAUGCGGUGUUUGAACAUGAGACCAGGAAGUUUUUC
rnacentral:misc_RNA from 1 species